rnacentral:rRNA from 1 species
AGUGAACGCUGGCGGUAGGCCUAACACAUGCAAGUCGAACGGCAGCACAGUAAGAGCUUGCUCUUACGGGUGGCGAGUGGCGGACGGGUGAGGAAUACAUCGGAAUCUACUUUUUCGUGGGGGAUAACGUAGGGAAACUUACGCUAAUACCGCAUACGACCUACGGGUGAAAGCAGAGGAUCUUCGGACCUUGCGCGAUUGAAUGAGCCGAUGUCGGAUUAGCUAGUUGGCGGGGUAAAGGCCCACCAAGGCGACGAUCCGUAGCUGGUCUGAGAGGAUGAUCAGCCACACUGGAAAUGGGACACGGUCCAGACUCCUACGGGAGGCAGCAGUGGGGAAUAUUGGACAAUGGGCGCAAGCCUGAUCCAGCCAUACCGCGUGGGUGAAGAAGGCCUUCGGGUUGUAAAGCCCUUUUGUUGGGAAAGAAAAGCAGCAGGUUAAUACCCCGCUGUUCUGACGGUACCCAAAGAAUAAGCACCGGCUAACUUCG